rnacentral:rRNA from 1 species
UGGGGAAUAUUGGACAAUGGGCGGAAGCCUGAUACAGCCAUGCCGCGUGUGUGAAGAAGGCCUUUUGGUUGUAAAGCACUUUAAGCGAGGAGGAGGCUACUUGGAUUAAUACUCUAGGAUAGUGGACGUUACUCGCAGAAUAAGCACCGGCUAACUCUGUGCCAGCAGCCGCGGUAAUACAGAGGGUGCGAGCGUUAAUCGGAUUUACUGGGCGUAAAGCGUGCGUAGGCGGCUUCUUAAGUCGGAUGUGAAAUCCCUGAGCUUAACUUAGGAAUUGCAUUCGAUACUGGGAAGCUAGAGUAUGGGAGAGGAUGGUAGAAUUCCAGGUGUAGCGGUGAAAUGCGUAGAGAUCUGGAGGAAUACCGAUGGCGAAGGCAGCCAUCUGGCCUAAUACUGACGCUGAGGUACGAAAGCAUGGGGAGCAAACAGG